rnacentral:misc_RNA from 1 species
UGACACAUUUUGUGCAUCAGUCCAUAAAGACAGCAGACGACAUCGUGCUAUGCUAGAAAUGUGAUUAUUUCUCAAUUUUAUCUCCUAAUCAAAGUAUUUCUAGCAGCGAUGGUGACAAAAUUUUAUUAUUUGUUUCUGCUACUAAUAAGUGUUAAAGUUGGUUUGUGUAGCGAAAGGGAAACUUACACGAUAGGAAUAAUCUUUAAUGAAAUGCCAAAUGAUGCUGAAUAUCCAUUGAAUGAUACAAUUAUCAGAACUAAUAUCAUCGAAAAACAUUCGCCGAUAUAUCUUGCCGCUAAUAUACAAACCACUUCCAAGACUGAUAUAUUUGAUACUUCAAAAGUCGUUUGUAAUCUAGUAGAUGAUGGUAUCGUCGCCGUUUUCGGCCCACCGACUUCUGUCACAAGCCCUGUGAUAGAGUCAACUUGUAAGAGCCUUAAUAUCCCCUACAUAGUGACUUCAUGGAGAAAAACUAAUUUGGACGAAUCAGAUGUAUUUUUGAAUUUCUAUCCAGAUGCCGACAAACUGGCCAAAGGUAUUUCUGAAGUAGUAAAGAGCCUAGAGUGGAUAGGUUUUAUUAUUCUAUAUGAAGACGAAGAAGGUCUAGUUAAAUUACAAGAAGUUCUGAAACUUCAAAAUGUUGAGAAAAUGGAUAACCAAGAUUAUAUACGUGUUGAACAACUCACCAAUGGGCCUGAUUAUAGGCACAUUUUCAAGAAAUUUAAAAAUUCUACUGAGAACAAUGUCAUACUUGAUUGUAAAACAGAAAAUAUUUUACCAAUAUUAGCUCAAGCAAAAUCAUUAGACAUGGUAGACAUUCGGUACAACUAUUUUCUAACAUCAUUGGAUGCCCAUACGAUUGACUUUUCUAGUCUGAAUGUGACUGCAAACAUUACCACAAUUAGAAUUUUUGACUCUGACAAUGAGAACUUUUUAAGCGCAAUACAAAAAUGGAAUAUAGCGGCUGUUGAGUUUAACAGAAAAACAAUGACUAUUGAUCCAGAUACUCUAAAGACUGAAACAUUACUCUUUCAUGAUGCUCUGGUUUAUUUAUCUACAACAUUGAAGGAUAUGCCUUACAUUUCCAACGCAAAAGUAAACUGUUUUGGAAUGGAUAUAUAUUUGGAUGGUCCGGAUAUUAUUAGAUCAACAAAAGAGAAAAAUGACUUGGCUACCAUAACUGGACCAAUAAAGUUUGAUGACAGCGGCAAUAGAGAAUACUUUAAUCUGUAUGUGUACACCCAAUUAGACGACCAACUUAUCGCUACAUAUAUUGCUGAAAAUGAAACUCUUAAAUUGAUGAGAACUUCAGAAGAAACAAAUCUAGCAGCUAUAUCAAGCUUGAAAAAAGUUAAUGUCAUUGUUUCCACAAGAGUUGGUGAACCAUAUUUGAUGCUAGCUGAAUCUCCCGAUGGAAAAGUAUUGGAAGGAAAUGAUAGGUACGAAGGCUAUACCAAAGAUUUAAUGAACGAAAUUGCUGCUAUUUUGGAAUUUAAAUACGAAAUUAUGAUCACAGAAAAUAACGUUUAUGGAAAAUAUCUAGCCGACGAAAAAAGAUGGAAUGGUUUAAUUGGCGAUUUACUAGAAGGGAAUGCACAUUUGGCUCUCUGCGAUUUGACUAUCAAUCAACAAAGGCGAUCAAUAGUGGAUUUUAGCAUGCCAUUUAUGACUUUAGGAAUCAGUAUUCUACACAAGUCACCCCAGAAGAGUGAUUCCAAACCAUUUGCAUUUUUGGAUCCGUUUGAUACGUCAGUAUGGAUUUAUUCAGCAACAACGUACCUGGUAGUAUCUAUAAUACUUUUCUUUAUAGCAAGGAUGACUCCAGGGGAUUGGGAAAAUCCGCAUCCUUGUGAUCAAGAACCAACUAUGGCCGAAAAUAUAUGGAGCUUACGAAAUUGUCAUUGGGCAACACUGGGUACUAUUAUGAACCAAGGAUGUGAUAUAUUACCCAAAGGAAUAUCGACAAGAUUAGCGCUAGCCAUGUGGUGGUUCUUUGCUCUUAUUAUUACCAAUUCGUACAUUGCCAACUUAACUGCCUUUUUAACCAAAGCCAAUUUGGAUUCUCCCAUAAAAAGUGUUGAUGACCUUGGAAAGCAAAGUAAGAUCAAAUAUGGAUUUUUAGAAGGUGGAGCCACAGAACAGUUUUUCAGAGAAUCUAACAAUUCACUAUACCAAAGAAUGUACUUAAAUAUGAAAUCGGCAAGACCAAGUGUUCUAGAAACCGAUAAUUUAGAUGGCGUACAAAGAGUACAAAAUACAAAAAAUGAAUUAUAUGCUUUUUUAAUGGAAUCCACAACAAUAGAAUACCAUACUGCAACAAAAUGUAACUUGAAACAAGUUGGAGAUUGGUUAGAUUCAAAAAGUUAUGGAAUUGCUAUGCCCAUGACUAAGAAAUUUAGACAAAGACGAUAAUGAAGGAGAUCUCGAUCUAGCAAAAACCAGUGGUAUAUUUCUUGUUUUGGUUGUUGGAGUUAGUAUUGCAUUGGCUAUGGGAUGGAUUGAAUUUUUGUGGAACGUGAGAAACAUAUCUGUCGAGGAACAUAUGACUUACUGGGAAGCUCUCAAAAUGGAGUUAAAAUUUGCAUUUAAUAUUUGGAUAACAAGAAAGAAAAUAAAACCCGAUGUAUCUGAAUCGUCUGCAUCUUCGGAAAGCAAAAGUGAGAAAAUUGAUAAUAGGAGCAUGAUUCAGAAUUUUUUACAUAAUGCUGGAUCUUUCAUGAACGUUAAUCAGGGUUCUUAAUUAUAUAGGAACUUAAUACUUUGUUUUAAAUGCAUCCAUUUUAAAAUUACUAGGAAUAGAACCUACAAUUAGUUGCAUAUAUUUAAUAAAAAUGUAGGUAAAAAAUACAACAGGAUUUAUUCUAGUUGUAAUAUUUUUAAUGAAUUGAAGUAUACUAAACCUAGGUACAAAUUUGUUAAAUAAAACAUUUUUAAAAUCAAUAAAAGGCUUUUUUUAUUA